rnacentral:rRNA from 1 species
AAUAGAUACCCAGGUAGUCCACCCCGUAAACGUUGGGAACUAGUUGUGGGGUCCAUUCCACGGAUUCCGUGACGCAGCUAACGCAUUAAGUUCCCCGCCUGGGGAGUACGGCCGCAAGGCUAAAACUCAAAGGAAUUGACGGGGACCCGCACAAGCGGCGGAGCAUGCGGAUUAAUUCGAUGCAACGCGAAGAACCUUACCAAGGCUUGACAUACACGAGAACGGGCCAGAAAUGGUCAACUCUUUGGACACUCGUGAACAGGUGGUGCAUGGUUGUCGUCAGCUCGUGUCGUGAGAUGUUGGGUUAAGUCCCGCAACGAGCGCAACCCUCGUUCUAUGUUGCCAGCACGUAAUGGUGGGAACUCAUGGGAUACUGCCGGGGUCAACUCGGAGGAAGGUGGGGAUGACGUCAAAUCAUCAUGCCCCUUAUGUCUUGGGCUUCACGCAUGCUACAAUGGCCGGUACAAAGGGCUGCAAUACCGUGAGGUGGAGCGAAUCCCAAAAAGCCGGUCCCAGUUCGGAUUGAGGUCUGCAACUCGA